AUGCCUCCUAAUCGUACAACUAGUCAGAGGAACGCUGCCAGCACUGAGGUUCCACAGUCAGAGAUGCCUUCACCGAGAACUAGGAACCGACCUCAAGGUCUACUGAAGUACCCCAAAUACUACUGUUCAGAUCACUCCUACUUUGAAGGUGGAAUUCAGAGGAGCUAUUGUCAUGCUCACUCAACUGGUAGCUUCCCAGAUGGGAAAUUCGAAGAUAUCCUAGUAUCAAACACAAUGAAGUGUUCGAGAAUGAAGAUUAUUGCUUCAUCAGAAUAUCUUUAUUCUGUUUAUGAGUCAGUGUUGAAGAGCAAGAACAUUACAGACAUGCACCCAUACUGUUCUGAUUACUACAAGCCAGAGGCGUUGGCAAUUACUUAUGAAUUUCCAAUGGUUCCAAUGCCAGAUAAGAAAGAUUGUUCUAUUCUGAAAGAAAUUUUGGAAGAAUUCUUUACUCAAUUUAUAAGUUUGUUGAAAACUGUUUUAUCAAUUCACAGUGGGCAGGUCAGAAAUGCAUGCUGGGAGCUUUAUUGCCUUGAACAUGGCAUUCAGCCUGAUGGCCAGAUGCCGGGUGACAAGACUGUUGGAGGAGGUGAUGAUGCAUUUAACACCUUCUUUAGUGAAACUGGAGCUGGAAAGCAUGUUCCCCGUGCUGUUUUUGUAGAUCUUGAGCCUACUGUCAUUGAUGAAGUCAGGACAGGAACAUACAGACAGCUAUUUCACCCUGAGCAACUCAUUAGUGGCAAAGAAGAUGCAGCCAACAACUUUGCCUGUGGCCAUUAUACAAUUGGGAAAGAAAUAGUUGAUCUUUGUUUGGACCGCAUUAGGAAGCUUUCAGAUAACUGUACUGGCCUAAAAGUUUCCUGGUAUUUAACGCUGUUGGUGGUGGCACUGGUUCUGGUCUUGGGUCACUUUUACUGGAGGGUCUCUCAGUUGACUAUGGCAAGAAAUCAAAACUAGGAUUCACAAUUUAUCCCUCACCACAGGUCUCAACAUCUGUUGUGGAGCCUUACAACAGUGUACUUUCAACUCAUUCCCUGCUUGAGCACACUGAGUUGCAAUUCUUCUCGACAAUGAGGCCAUUUAUGACAUUUGCCGGCGCUCAUUGGACAUUGAGCGCCCCAAGUACACCAACCUUAACCGCCUUAUUUCACAGGUCAUUUCUUCUCUGACUGCUUCUUUGAGGUUUGAUGGAGCCCUGAAUGUUGACGUGAAUGAGUUCCAAACAAAUCUCGUUCCCUAUCCCAGAAUCCAUUUUAUGCUUUCUUCCUAUGCUCCAGUCAUUUCAGCUGAGAAGGCUUAUCAUGAGCAGCUCUCAGUUGCAGAGAUCACAAAUAGCGCAUUUGAACCCUCUUCUAUGAUGGUUAAGUGUGACCCUUGCCAUGGCAAGUACAUGGCCUGCUGCCUCAUGUUCCGUGGUGAUGUUGUGCCAAAGGAUGUCAAUGCUGCUGUGGCCACCAUCAAGACCAAUCGUACUAUCCAAUUUGUUGACUGGUGCCCUACUGGAUUCAAGUGUGGUAUCAACUACCAACCACCUACUGUUGUUCCUGGAGGCGACCUUGCCAAGGUGCAAAGGGCUGUGUGCAUGAUCUCUAACUCAACUAGUGUUGCAGAGGUCUUUUCUCGCAUUGACCACAAGUUUGAUCUGAUGUACGCCAAACGUGCUUUUGUGCACUGGUACGUUGCUGAGGGUAUGGAAGAAGGUGAGUUCAGUGAAGCCCGUGAGGACCUUGCUGCUCUUGAAAAGGAUUAUGAGGAGGUUGGUGCUCAAAUGGACGAUGAAGAAGGCGGUGAUGAAGGAGACGAGUACUGAGUGAAGACAUUGUGGUGUGUUUGUUAUUGAUGAAUAUCUAUUGCACUCCUAGCAAUUAAUAUUACUUGUUGUGGUCUUCUGAACUGAAAUGUGCUGUUAUGCAAGUCAAAAUAUGUUCGUUUGACUGUU